AAAGCACAAGCAGCAUGACUCUCAUCAGCAUCUUCAUCUGGACGCUGGCCUGCUGCUGCUUCACAGGAUCCAGCAGUCAGGUGACUGUGACUCAGCCUCCAGUGGUGACAUUUACUCCAGGAUCCACUGUCACCCUGUCCUGUAAAGCCAACCCAAAGGCUUAUACUUGGCCAGAUGGAGAUUUUGGAAUAGGCUGGUAUCAGAAGAAAUCUGGAGAAGUUCCCAAACUCCUGAUCUACUAUGGUCGAAAGACUGCAAGUGGUGUUCCCUCUCGAUUCACCGGCAGUGGAGACGGUGUUAAUCCUGUUUUGACCAUCAGUGGAGUCCAGGCUGAAGAUGCAGCAGUUUAUUACUGUCAGAGUUACCAUAGUGGCAAUGUGUUCACACAGUGA